rnacentral:rRNA from 1 species
AGCGAACGCUGGCGGCAGGCCUAACACAUGCAAGUCGAACGAACUCUUCGGAGUUAGUGGCGGACGGGUGAGUAACACGUGGGAACGUGCCUUUAGGUUCGGAAUAACUCAGGGAAACUUGUGCUAAUACCGAAUGUGCCCUUCGGGGGAAAGAUUUAUCGCCCUUAGAGCGGCCCGCGUCUGAUUAGCUAGUUGGUGAGGUAAAGGCUCACCAAGGCGACGAUCAGUAGCUGGUCUGAGAGGAUGAUCAGCCACAUUGGGACUGAGACACGGCCCAAACUCCUACGGGAGGCAGCAGUGGGGAAUCUUGCGCAAUGGGCGAAAGCCUGACGCAGCCAUGCCGCGUGAAUGAUGAAGGUCUUAGGAUUGUAAAAUUCUUUCACCGGGGACGAUAAUGACGGUACCCGGAGAAGAAGCCCCGGCUAACUUCGUGCCAGCCGCCACAGUAA